rnacentral:rRNA from 1 species
CUUUUUUAGGUUAUAAUUUGCUGUUUUUGUGAAGAAGCGCAACUGCGGGGAAAAGAUAAGAAGACCCUAUUAAGCUUUAUUUCUCUUUUUAUCUUUUUUUAUUUAUAUAUUUUAGUUGACAAAAGAAAUUUGGUUGGGGUGACUGAAGAAGAAUAAAAUCUUCUUUUCUUUUUUUAACUUUAUGAUUAAUAAUGAGCCGGCACCUGCUGGUUAAAAAAAUAAGUUACUAUAGGGAUAACAGCGUAAUCUUUUCAUAGAGUUCUUAUUGAAGAAAAGGAUUGCGACCUCGAUGUUGACUUAUUAUUUCCUUUUAAGGUGUAGCAAGCUGGGAGGGUUGUUCUGUUCGACCAUUAAAAUAAU